GAGAGGGAGAGUAGCUGGGCGACAACAUGGAGGCUGACGUUAAGGUUCCACGCUGUACCUUUACAGGCUGUUAUGAAUGUUCUUAAGGGAUGGAUGUGUACAGGGCUUUGUAUGUUAAGGCUUGAAAAUGGAUUCUACCGUUUUAUAAACAAAAGCACGCACAAUAGCGAACUCCUAGCAGAAAGGUGUGCGACACCAUACGGAUCUCCCUGAGAACUCUUCCGGGGCAGAAAACGACCAUUUAGACUAUUCUAAAAAGAAUCCGAGAGACUGGAAACUUCCAUGGGAGAGGUGCAUCACGUACACACUGGGCCCACGGGACCAGGAGAGGCCACACAGACUGCAGAAGCCCGAGGGAACCACCAACAGAAAAACCUCUUCUACUCCCAGGCCAGAACUCCAUGAACACGGAGGCUGCAGAGACCAAGGGCUCUCGCCUUCUUCCCCUCCCCCACAGUACCACAUGGCCCCUGCUAGGGCCGGCAGUUUAGUCCAUCCGCUUGUACCGAUGCUGGCUGUGCUCAGAAGAGCUUCUCUUUGCAGUGAGCAUUGGUUAAGGCAGAGCCCCCUAAAAACUGAUCGAAUUCAGGGAACAUAAAGGAAGAGGGAACAGAAAGAAUUUGGGAGUCAGUGGACGGGGAGGGAGGACACCGUGAUUUGCUUGCUGUUUUCCAGACCCGAUGUGUGGGUGCCCACGAACCCACAGCAGCUGUGCCUGCCCGCACAUGUUGAAGUCGGUCAGCUUUCCAGCGUUGGGAGGGAAGGCCCGCAAACACCCCUACGCGAGGAGAUAUUGAUAGUUCAUGUCUAUUAGGAGGAGAGUCGCUUCUCUUUGGUGCAUGAGUGGAUUGUCCAUGAUUCCGAGGCUAGCCCUUCUUUAUCCAUGUGCACAUGAGCAGCACUGACUGGGUUCAAUAGUUUUUUUUUUUUUUUUUUUUUUUUUUAAGCAGGAGACAGGAUGUAUGGGGGCAUGGCCUGGGGGGCGGGUGAGGCACCAAUACGAUCAAACACAUUCUAUUCACCUCUGAAAUCUCAGAGAAGAAAUGCAAAGCAUCAUAUAUAGAUACAGCUGCACACAUUUACGAGCGCCAUGACAGCCCCUUUUAUGUCCUUGUCGUAACUCGGGAUCUUUAAUUUAGGAUCUGGAUAAAUGUUCGCUGAGUUCAAUAAAAGUAAUUUACAAAAA